AUUUAUAUAGUUUAAAUAAAACAUAACACUUUCAUUGUUAAAAUGGGAUUCCCCUUUAAAUA
rnacentral:tRNA from 1 species